rnacentral:rRNA from 1 species
GGGUAAAUAAUGGCGUGCAGCCGGGGUAAAAGUGAGGUGGCAAAGGUUAAUCGGAUGUACUGGGCGUAAAGCGUGCGUAGGUGGCUGUUUAAGUCAAAUGUGAAAUCCCCUGGCUUAACUUGGGAAUUGCAUUCGAUACUGGAAGGCUAGAGUAUGGAGAGGAUGGUAGAAUUCCAGGUGUAGCGGUGAAAUGCAUAGAGAUCUGGAGGAAUACCGAUGGCGAAGGCAGCCAUCUGGCCUAAUACUGACACUGAGGUACGAAAGCAUGGGGAGCAAACAGGAUUAGAUACCCGAGUAGUC